GGCUCAGGAUGAACGCUAGCUACAGGCUUAACACAUGCAAGGUCGAGGGGAAACGAUAUUGGAAGCUUGCUUCCGAUAGGCGUCGACCGGCGCACGGGUGAGUAACGCGUAUCCAACCUGCCCAUCACUUGGGGAUAACCUUGCGAAAGUAAGACUAAUACCCAAUGACGUCUCUAGAAGACAUCUGAAGGAGAUUAAAGAUUUAUCGGUGAUGGAUGGGGAUGCGUCUGAUUAGCUUGUUGGCGGGGUAACGGCCCACCAAGGCGACGAUCAGUAGGGGUUCUGAGAGGAAGGUCCCCCCACAUUGGAACUGAGACACGGUCCAAACUCCUACGGGAGGCAGCAGUGAGGAAUAUUGGUCAAUGGGCGAGAGCCUGAACCAGCCAAGUAGCGUGCAGGAUGACGGCCCUAUGGGUUGUAAACUGCUUUUAUAAGGGAAUAAAGUGGGAGUCGUGACUCUUUUUGCAUGUACCUUAUGAAUAAGGACCGGCUAAUUCCGUG
rnacentral:rRNA from 1 species